rnacentral:rRNA from 1 species
GACGAACGCUGGCGGCGUGCUUAACACAUGCAAGUCGAGCGGUAAGGCCCUUUCGGAGGUACACGAGCGGCGAACGGGUGAGUAACACGUGGGUGACCUGCCCUCAGCUCUGGGAUAAGCCUGGGAAACCGGGUCUAAUACUGGAUAUGACUCCAUGACGCAUGUUGUGGGGUGGAAAGCCUUGUGCGGCUGAGGAUGGGGCCCGGCCUAUCAGCUUGUGUGGGGUGAUGGCCUACCAAGGCGA